rnacentral:tRNA from 1 species
AAAGAUGUAGAUAAUAGACUUCUAAUCUAAUUUUUCUGAAAAGAACAUCUUUA